rnacentral:lncRNA from 1 species
AAAUAUAUACAGGCUCUUCAGAAGGAAUUUUCUCGUAAAUUAAGUAUUUUCUUUUCAUGAAACAAGCGUUGCUAGGUUUCUGGAACGGUAUUCACACAGUCCACGUCGAUUUAGUAUUUGUCUUUAGUGUCC